UACGAGAGGCCCAAACGUUAUUCGGAAUUACUGGGCUUAAAGAGUUCGUAGGCGGCGCAGCAAGUCGGGUGUGAAAGCCCUCGGCUCAACCGAGGAAUUGCGCUCUAAACUACUGUGCUUGAGGAACCUAGAGGUGAGCAGAACAGAUGGUGGAGCGGUGAAAUGCGUUGAUAUCAUCUGGAAUACCGGAGGCGAAGGCGGCUCACUGGGGGUUUUCUGACGCUGAGGAACGAAAGCCAGGGUAGCGAACGGG
rnacentral:rRNA from 1 species